GCCAGUUCCAGUAAUCAAGCAUAUCUCUAUGAAAGGCCCCAGCUAAGCAGACUCUGUUCUCAAAUAAGAACAUCAAGAUGGCAUCAACUAGGAAUACAGUCAACUAGAAGUGGAUCAGGCAACACUCAGUAACAUCAGAGAUGAUGGCUCCAUCCCGUAUGAAGAGAAGAGAUGCGCAUCCCGUAUGAAGAGAAGAGAUGCCGCAUGUUCGAGAAAUGGCUGGACGGAAAUGCUACAGCAACAAUUAAGCAGCUGCUGGAAGCAUUGAGGCUAAAAGUGAUUGGUGAAGAUGCAAUGGCAAAGGAAUAGGAACAAACACUUGUAUCAAGCCAACAAGAAACCAACAAGGCGGUUGGGUAUACAGCAGGUUCAACACAGCAUGAAGACAAUCCAACCAGAGAAGUGAUGGAAGAGAUGUCAAAGAAGGCAAUAAGCACAACAGUAAAGCUAACCAGUGAGGCACUGGAGUUACAAGGAAAGUAUCACAAGUCCAGACCUCAUGCAGGGCAGCUGAGCUCGAGCCAAUGAAAAACAUCCUCAGGUCAAUACUUCAAGAGAAAUCCCUCUACCAACUGGCAGCCAUUGCUCAGUACCUGAAAGAAAUAAACAGCCUUUGCUCUGUAGAUCAAGUUUUCCAAUUCCUCGUAGAGAAACACUUCAUUAGCUACCUACACUUUCAGCUACUCAAAGAAUUCUCAACUGAGACAAUAUGUGGUCCUAAAGCAAGCAAGAAGAUAGAGAGGGAGAUCUCAAAGUACCAAAAGCAAUUCAAAAGCUUCAUGGAUUUACCGGAAUUCUCAACUCUGGUACAAGUCUUUGAUAAAAAUCCCGAGCUCAACCCAAGCAUCAUAGUGGGACUGCCUAUCAUAAUAAUAUCCAUUAAUUGACUCUUGGAAGCAUCGGAACAGAAAGGAGCUGAGUGACUGGAUACCUUUUCUCAAGGAAAACAAAGAGCUACUGCAAUCUAUUGGAUACAGAUGUAUACUCAUCACUUAUGCCAUCUUUCCUAUUGAUCUUCCUCAGGUAAUGACUUUCCUUAAUGAUCGUGAUAAAAUGGAGGAGCUCAAGAAGAAUGGAAUAACUAUAGAAAUAUCAUAAGAGGCUACGACAAUGUUUAAGUUACUCUCAUCUCCAGAUGUAAGCAUUAUGAUAUCAGAGUUGCAGGCAAAAAUGAAAGUUUUGCAAGAAGAGAACACAAAGCUCAAGGAAAUGACCAAUUCCUUGAAACAAACUCAAGAAAAGAUGACGCACAUGUUCACGCAGACUCAACAAGUGUUGAUACAAACUCAAGACAAGAUAACGCAAACUCAAAAGGCUCUGAUGCAGAAUCAAGAAAAACUAAUGGAGAAACUGAUGGUAACAUCAUUGCAGCGCAGGAAAUCUUUUCAAAAUGGAGAGCACCAUGUAAGAGUGCAAAGAAAAAGAAGAGCAAAAUCAGAUAUAGCUGAUCCUGGAGGCAUCUCAGAAAUCCUCUGAUAUUCAUGUAGCAACUAUCCAGGUGCAGCUGCUGAUAGAAGAUCUUUCACUACUGAGAAUACUACAUACAGUAGCAGCACACUCUGACUUAAUAGAAUAACAGACACAUAUACAUGAGCAAUAACAGCACAUGUGAAGCACUGGAACAUAAUACAAAUACAUGUAAUACUUUUUAUUGCAGCUGUUCUUGUAUGAUUUAGCAAUGAGAAAAUAGUUCCAAAUGCUGAGGAGAAAGUGAGGUUUUGGGAAGGUAUUUGAAGGAAUAAAGUGGUUCAUAACAGAGAGGCAAAAUGGUUGCUGGAGCUGAAGGAGAAAAAUGAGUAUGCUAGACAGCAGAAUUUGGAGACAAAUGUUGGUAUGAUAAAGAAGAGAAGUAAAAGGAUAGCAAAUUGGAAGACACCAGGAAUGGAUGGAAUACAGGGCUAUCGGAUUGAGUAUUUGACGAAUUGCCAUGAGAGGAUUGUGGUACAGUUGAAUGAGAUGUUGAAUGGGUUCGCAGAGAUUCCACAAUGGCUGACAUAUGGCAGAACAGUUUUGUGUAAAGGAUCCAAAGAAGGGAAAUGUGGCUGAUAACUUUAGACCAAUUUUGUAUUUGCCAAUUAUGUGGAAGUUAUUUACUGGAGUAAUUGCUGAUAGUUUAUAUGAUUUUAUGGAAGAGAAGAAAGUUUACAGAAA